rnacentral:rRNA from 1 species
AUUGAACGCUGGCGGCAGGCCUAACACAUGCAAGUCGAACGAGUGGCGGACGGGUGAGUAAUGUCUGGGAAACUGCCCGAUGGAGGGGGAUAACUACUGGAAACGGUAGCUAAUACCGCAUACCAUCGGAUGUGCCCAGAUGGGUGUAGCUAGUAGGUGGGGUAAGGGCUCAACUAGGCGACAACCCCUAGCUGGUCUGAGAGGAUGACCAGCCACAGUGGAACUGAGACACGGCCCAGACUCGUAGGGGAUGUAGCAGGGGGUACUAUUGCAACAGGGGUGAAAGCCUGAUGCAGCCAUGCCGGGUGUAUGAAGAAGGCCUUCGGGUUGUAAAGUACUUUCAGCGGGGGGGCGUUACUCGCAGAAGAAGCACCGGCUAACUCCGUGCCAGCAGCCGCGGUAUAC